CUCGUCAGUCACACGGAGGAUAAUCUCCCUUGGCACUGGAACACAGCCGGGAAACUGGGGCUAAUUCUCGAUAGGGAAGGACUCUGGAAUGAUUUUUGGCCAAACAGACGUUUGCGGUAUGUGAGUAGCCGUCGCCCAAGGAUGAGCACGCGGCCGAUCAGGGGUAUGGUGAGCCAAUGGCUCACCAAGCCUUUGUCCGGUGCGGUCGGAGAGAUUGGGAGCCCGGAGAUGGGCCACGAGACAUGGGCCCAGGCCCUCAGGGUUUCAGCAGUCGCCCUGGAGCACCUCUCCCCUAAAGCGGUCCAUAGUUAUCCAGAAUCCCAUACGCUCAGGAAGGCUAAUCCGCAAUAUUUCAACAGGGGGGAAUCAGGACAGGUCAAGUCUGGUGUCACCCAGUAAGGUAAUCCCACAUCUGAGAGUGCGGUAGAUGCGCGGCGGCCGGCAAGCAUCUGUACCGGCCCAAGUUCUCCGGUUUUAAAUCCCGAUGAACUAAUCGAGGAUCGGGCGGUCAGAGUUCCCUUGUCACGGUCUGAGAGGCAGACGGUAUUUUCGGGGUAGGGGUGAAAUCCUAUAAUCCCGGGAAGACCACCAGUGGCGAAGGCUGUUCUUAGAACGCGCCCGACGGUGAGGGAUGAAAGCUGGGGGAGCGAACCGGAUUAGAUACCCGGGUAGUCCCAGCUGUAACCGAUGCAGGCUAGGUGUUUGGACGCCCACCAUCCCAUCAAGCAUAGCAGGGAAGGUAUUAAGCCCACCUCCUGGGGAGUACGAUCGCAAGAGGAUAGGUAAAGCAAGUGGCGGGGGACCAC
rnacentral:rRNA from 1 species